rnacentral:lncRNA from 1 species
AAUUGGUAUACCUGCUUUUAGGCUUGUUAUGAUAGAAGGGUUCUAAGAAGCCCAAGUGUUGUAACUGUUUAUCUACCUCUAAUAUCCGAGAAACCAAUACAAGUAAGACUCGUCUCUAUUUGAGAUGCAGUGGUAGAACAAUGUAAUCAUAAUUUCUAACAUUUUUCAUAUGUUUAGACGAAGGAUUUCCAAGUCUCAAGAGAUUGAGGCCAAGCUUGUAAGAAAUGAAUCGCAAAAUGUCUAUAGGAGGGAUUAGAAAAUCUUCAUAUGGUCAUUGCAAAGGCAAAUGAUAAAAGUUUAUAAAUCCCUACUUAAAAUGUGUCAUUUACCUAUCUCUCUUAAAAACAGUUUAUUGAUUUCUUUAUAAUGUCUCAAAUGAAGUAAACGUAUCUUGGAAAAUCAAACCAACUUUUUCUCUUGUUUCUAUUUCGAGGUCUUCGUUUUCGAACUUUCAAAAUCCAUUAAAUCACAACAAAUAAAAUUUGGUCGGCAUCUUUUUCUCACCGAAUGGACGAAACCCUACACGGCUCAAACACAACCCAUAGCCCACUGCCACCCAAGCUUUAUUUAUGUUGCAAUUAGUUUUGGAAAAGGCACAGUUGGCAACAGACAGGCCGUUGCCCAAUGUGCCACUUGGUCAUUGAUUGGAUUUAUAGUUUCUAGUUAGCAGCUCCACACAUGCAAAAAUUUGUCACGUCUCACGCUUCUUUGGUUACAAUAAACUUCGUCAAAGUUAAUUACCAAACAAGACCAACUUGUAGAUUCUCAAGCUUGAUGGCAUGCAUUUCACUCUAAAAAAUCAGUGAAUUCUCACAGAUUUACAACGAGUAUUGCACUUUUUAAACACGUAACCGGCUUUUAUUGGAUGAUAAUGUCACUUGAACAAAAAUUUGAUUACAUAGAAGAAUCUUUUGUUAAUAAGAUAAGAGUAUAAAAUGCAAGAUCUUAUGAGCUAAGUAACGCAUUUUGGUUGUUCGUUUCACUUUAAAUAGCUAGUUACCCCCUUAAUCCUAUUCUAUUUUGUGGUUAAUCUAGGUUACUUAUGAGUUGACCAAGAUCAGCUAAAGAACCUUGUUAAUUAGGACAAGCCCCCAUGGGGCCAGACUGGCCAGUUUAUAUGCAAUUUAGUUUUUUUCUUUGAUUGUGAUUGUGAUUGUGAUUGAAGGACAGAAACAUCAAUUUCUAGCAUAUCUAAUUAAAAGAUUUAAAGUCUAGAUACAUAUGAUUCAUGGACAUAUCACUCUGAGGGGGCGUUAAAGGGGUGCUAAAGGUGCAGUAGGGCCCCAAAUUUGAAGGGGUUCUAAAAUUUUUGUCAACUAAUAUUUAUAUGGAAUAAUAUUCUAUAUUUAAAAUUGCUUUUGUUAUGAGAUAAUGUUCUAUAUUCAAAAAUUGAUUUUGUGAGCACUUUAAAAUCUCAUCUUACAUUACUUAUAAGCAUAAUUUUUUUCUUUUCUAAAUAUAAAAAUUUAGAACACAAUAAGAUAUUUUGAGUGUCAAUAAUACAUCAUAAAAGACGGUAUUUUUUCAAUAUUAUUAUAUAAUAAAGUUACAUAUUCAAGUGAAACUUUAAAGUUAGAGUUUUUAAAAUUUGUUUUCUUGUUUGGUUAUUUAAGAGUGAAAUGCUUUUGAUUAUUUAGUGAACGUUUAUGUUUGUAGCUCUUUUACUUAUUACUAAUGACAUUUUUAAACUUGCAAUCAGUGAGUGCUAAACUUUGUUUUGAUUUAAGUAAUUGAUUUCUAGUGUCAAUACAUUGUCCUACAUUUUUUUAAGACUAUCUUAAGGAGGGGCGCUUUUAUAAAUUCCGCACAGGGCCCUUAAAAUCUCAGAGACGGCCCUGAUAUCACUAAUCAUCAGACGUAUCUGCCUAUGAUAACUUGUAAUAAAGUUCAUUGAUUCAUUGUCGACUCUAACAACUCACAACUAAUUAAUCCUCAAUCGUUCAUCUUUGCGAUGAUCAUAAGUAAAUUCAUUCGAUGGUGUUGGUUAUAUGUCAAUAUAAUUAAAUAAUUGGUUUUAAUGCCAAUAGACUAAUAACCUAUUAGCUCGUUUUGCUCUUAGCAUAAAUGAUGUUGGAAGUUGGUUUGAGAAAAUUUCUCAUGACAUUAUUGAUGUUUUUUUUUUUACACCUGUAACUCUUUUUUACUAUAGUAUGGGGUUUUUUUUAGGAAGAGUG